rnacentral:rRNA from 1 species
AGAGUUUGAUCAUGGCUCAGAUUGAACGCUGGCGGCAGGCCUAACACAUGCAAGUCGAGCGGGGUUUUUGGACCUAGCGGCGGACGGGUGAGUAAUGUAUAGGGAGCUGCCCGACAGAGGGGGAUACCAGUUGGAAACGACUGUUAAUACCGCAUAACGUCUACGGACCAAAGUGUGGGACCUUCGGGCCACAUGCUGUCGGAUGCACCUAUAUGGGAUUAGCUAGUUGGUGGGGUAAUGGCUCACCAAGGCGACGAUCCCUAGCUGGUUUGAGAGGAUGAUCAGCCACACUGGAACUGAGACACGGUCCAGACUCCUACGGGAGGCAGCAGUGGGGAAUAUUGGACAAUGGGCGCAAGCCUGAUCCAGCCAUGCCGCGUGUGUGAAGAAGGCCUUCGGGUUGUAAAGCACUUUCAGCGAGGAGGAAGGGGUUGUAGUAAUAGCUGCAAUUUUUGACGUUACUCGCAGAAGAGCACCGGCUAACUCCGUGCCAGCAGCCGCGGUAAUAC